CAGCUCAAAACAACUAUGGAGCAGUCGUGUCACUUUGGGCAUCAGUUAUCAUGGUUUAUUUUAUGGAUACACAAAUUUGGUAUUCAGUUUAUUCAACUUUAUAUGGUGGUGUCAUUGGGGCCUUUGAUCGUCUAGGAGAGAUACGAACAUUGGGGAUGCUUAGAUCAAGGUUCCAGUCCUUACCUGGUGCAUUCAACACAUAUCUGGUGCCUUCAAAUAGGUCGCAGAAAA